UACGUAGGGCGCAAGCGUUGUCCGGAAUUAUUGGGCGUAAAGAGCUCGUAGGCGGCUUGUCACGUCGGGUGUGAAAGACCGGGGCUUAACCCCGGUUCUGCAUUCGAUACGGGCUGGCUAGAGUGUGGUAGGGGAGAUCGGAAUUCCUGGUGUAGCGGUGAAAUGCGCAGAUAUCAGGAGGAACACCAAUAGCGAAGGCAGCUCGCUGGGACGUUACUGACACUGAGGCGCGAAAGCGUGGGGAGCGAACAGG
rnacentral:rRNA from 1 species